rnacentral:rRNA from 1 species
GUGUGACUGCGUACCUUUUGUAUAAUGGGUCAGCGACUUAUAUUCUGUAGCAAGGUUAACCGAAUAGGGGAGCCGAAGGGAAACCGAGUCUUAACUGGGCGUUAAGUUGCAGGGUAUAGACCCGAAACCCGGUGAUCUAGCCAUGGGCAGGUUGAAGGUUGGGUAACACUAACUGGAGGACCGAACCGACUAAUGUUGAAAAAUUAGCGGAUGACUUGUGGCUGGGGGUGAAAGGCCAAUCAAACCGGGAGAUAGCUGGUUCUCCCCGAAAGCUAUUUAGGUAGCGCCUCGUGAAUUCAUCUCCGGGGGUAGAGCACUGUUUCGGCAAGGGGGUCAUCCCGACUUACCAACCCGAUGCAAACUGCGAAUACCGGAGAAUGUUAUCACGGGAGACACACGGCGGGUGCUAACGUCCGUCGUGAAGAGGGAAACAACCCAGACCGCCAGCUAAGGUCCCAAAGUCAUGGUUAAGUGGGAAACGAUGUGGGAAGGCCCAGACAGCCAGGAUGUUGGCUUAGAAGCAGCCAUCAUUUAAAGAAAGCGUAAUAGCUCACUGGUCGAGUCGGCCUGCGCGGAAGAUGUAACGGGGCUAAACCAUGCACCGAAGCUGCGGCAGCGACGCUUAUGCGUUGUUGGGUAGGGGAGCGUUCUGUAAGCCUGUGAAGGUGU